rnacentral:tRNA from 1 species
GCACUGGUCAUUCAGUGGUAGAAUCUUUGCCUUCCAUGCAGGAGAGCUGGGUUUGAUUCCCAGCCAGUGCA